rnacentral:ncRNA from 1 species
CUCUGCGUCCGCAUGCGAUGCAGGGCAGAAAGAG